rnacentral:rRNA from 1 species
GACGAACGCUGGCGGCGUGCUUAACACAUGCAAGUCGAACGGUGAAGCGCUUGCCUUUUUGGUGGGUGUGGAUGAGUGGCGAACGGGUGAGUAACACGUGAGUAACCUGCCCUCUUCUUCUGGAUAACCUCAUGAAAGUGGGGCUAAUACGGGGUAUUCCGGGUCUGUCGCAUGGCGGGUUUGGGAAAGAUUGCGCCUUUGGGUGUUUUCGGUGGGGGAUGGGCUCGCGGCCUAUCAGCUUGUUGGUGGGGUGAUGGCCUACCAAGGCGGUGACGGGUAGCCGGCCUGAGAGGGUGGACGGCCACACUGGGACUGAGACACGGCCCAGAGUCCUGCGGGAGGCAGCAGUGGGGAAUAUUGCACAAUGGGCGCAAGCCUGAUGCAGCGACGCCGCGUGAGGGAUGGAGGCCGUCGGGUUGUGAACCUCUUUCGCCAGUGAAGCAGGCCUGCUCCUGUGUGGGUGGGUUGACGGUAGCUGGAUAAGAAGCGCCGGCUAACUACGUG